UUUUUUUUUUUUUUUUUUUUUUUUUUUGAUCAGUGUUCCAUCAUGGCUUCCCCUGCCUUCCUGCCUGCCUACUCUUUGUUUAUAUUUAUAUUUAGGAAAAUAAGUUUUUUCCCCUUGCUUGUUGCUGCUAUUUUCCUUUUCUAGGCCCAUCUCCUUAUCUUUUCCCUUCCCCCUUCUCCCUUUCCCAGGAUGUGGGUCUGUGGGUCCCUUUGCCCCCCGUUAUGGAACCAGUUCAAGCCAGGCUUAACUGUGAUGAGCACAAUUAGAAAGAAAGAAUUAGAUAUUCUUCUAGUGGUUAAUAGCAACCAAAUGCAACCUGCUGAUAAAUGUUUUUGAAAAUAUAUUCUGAUUUCAUAUAUCUCCAUUCUGUAGAUCCAACUUAAUAUUCCUUUGAAGAUUUGAGCAUUCAUCAUAAAGAGGCUAUAAUAUCUGGCUACUGGCUCCCCUCAAGAUGCUCCGUUUUGUGCAUGAGAAAAUGAAAGCAUUCAAAAUCAGAGGGCAGAGAUGAAGCUGAGACUCUCCAAUAUAUAGUUAAUUUAUUGCUUCUGUAUGUUCAAGAGAAGAAAAAAAGCAGUGGCAGUCAUUUUUCUAUCACUACAUUUUUUUUUAUCCUACCUAUCUAUUUGCAGAUGCAGAAUCUGUUUGCAAUCCGUAUUUUAUUGCCUUCAUUUUAAGGGAAUUAAUAGUCUGCUGUUGAGUGAUUUUCACAGCUAAGUAUUUGCUGGCAAUACCUCUCCUUAUUUUGCUGUGGAAUGUACACCAGGUCAAAUAUAGUCAGUUGUAUAUUGAGCUGAAAACAGACUUCAAUAAAUAUUACUCCACAUUGCACGGUAAUGUAAAUUGUGGAUGAUUCAUUCAGCCUCUCUCCCUCUCUCCUUUUUUUUUUUUUUUAAUCAGAGGUAUACUUCUUAUAAUUACAUUUUUCAGAAAUUUACAGUUCUGCAGUAAUAAAUGCUUAAUAUUCUGAAGGAAGAGAGGUAAAAUUUCCAUUUUAUAACUCACCGUGCAUUUCAGAACAAGCUAAGACUUAAGGGACCAGAUUAUGAAUCUUUUGGUAAUACUACAAUGUACUGAUUUCUUGAAGUGAAUGGGUCUUCUCGACUGAGUAGGUACAUUUAGGAGUAUAAACUAUGUUAAGUAAUGUCAGACUUCCCCUACAAUCUUAAGUGCUUUUAUACAGUUAAUGAGGACUACCAAAUUUGACACAAGUCUUCUGUUCUGCAGCUGACUCUAACUUGUCAAAAGGUGAUUAAUUGAUUGUGGCAUUGUAAGAUAAUAUAUUGUGAACCCAUACCAGGCAAAUUACUCUACAACAAGCAGUGACAGUGUGCCUCUCUUCUACCUAUGUAAUUUAAGCUAAGUGUAACAGUAACUGGAUAUACAAAGCCUCUGAAAAUUAAAGCUGCAAAAUAACAGACACACAAAGCAAGCAAUUGCAAGCUUCAAACCGUUUCUCAUGAUCUGUAAUUAUAAUCACAUGUCAGUUCUCCAGGCUAGACCGUAGCCUUAAGAAUGAUUAAGAUGCCCUCUUCUCUUGAUCUGCUCUACUGUUUUGGUGCUGGUCCCUCCUAUACUAGAACUGUUUAAUCAGGAGAGACCUAAUCACUCUCUACAGCCACCUGAAAGGAGGCUAUGGUGAGGCAGAGGCCAGUCUCUUUUUCCAAGGUUAGAGUAAUAGAAUGAGAGGUGAUGGCCUCAAGUUGUACCAGAGGAGAUUCAGGUUGGAUACAGGGGAAAAUUUCUUCUCUGAAAGGGUGGUUGUGCACUGGCACAGGCUGCCCAGGAAGGUGAUGGAGUCACCAUCUUGUUUUUGGGAGAAAAUUUUUUGUCAAGUUCUAGACAUCUGAAAACAGUGAUCUGUGCAUGCAUUUGAUAACAGAUUUUGACUGCACUUUAAAUGAAAAUGACUGUGUUAGAAGCAGUGUUAUCCUAGAAGUAUGAUUGCAGAGACAGCUAGUGAGAAAUUUUCAGAUCACUGAACAUAAAAAGAAUUUAUUUUUAGAUAUUAGAUGCAUGGAUUGUCCUUUUUAUUUUCAGAACCACAUGGCAAAAUUUACUUAAAGAUUAUUUUUAUCAAGUUGCAUAUUAAAAUUGCUUAUGUGUCCAUGUACUAUUUUGCCCACAAGAAGUAAAGAUUUAUUUUUUAUUCUUUUUUAACUGGAGAAAUUCAGUUCUCUGAUCACAAGAUAUUUCUGUAACUAUGUGACCAGGAAGAAAGUGAUUCUCAACAUAUUGCUAAAAGAUAUUACCAAACUUCAGUUUAUGUGAUCCUUUCUCCAUGGUUCUCUCACUUCAAUCAGCUCAAGAAAAGAUAGAACUAUGUUUUGAAAGUAGGAAGAAAACAUUUAGAGGAACAGACUUGCUGAUAGGAGGUUCCUCUACCUUCUUGUUAUAUGGGAUAUCUUUGCUUCCUCUGAAAGAUACAGAAACUGAGAUCAAUCUGCAUGACUACAUGUGCUUUCUCUGGGAAGACUUAUAUUUUCAGGUUGCACAAAAAGCACCUUUGAUAGCUUUCACACCAGAAGCAGGUUGUAAAUGCUUGUCAUAUGCAUUUGGUAAGUGAUGAUAUAUUCUCUCAUCGUGCUGGUAGUAAAUAAAGGAACUAUACUCUAAUUUCAAAUACUAUCUGACUAUCCUAACUUACAACUUAUACAAUUAAUUAGUGAGUUAAGAAAUUUUAAAACUUGUAUUUUGUUCACCACUAUGAAGUAAGUACAGUUUAUGAAGGGAACAUACUCUGCUAUGGCACUUUGAUCCCAGAUACUGAAAUUAGAUGGAGUGAACAGCGAGGAAGAAUUUUGACAGCAUCAUUUUACAAUUACUUGAAAUCUUAGAUAACAGUAACAACAAAGGAAGGGUAUGGAAACUACCCAUAUUCUCUACAAACUGUGUUAAUUCUGUUUCUAUGAUGUACUCUGCUUUAUCAUACAGAUGUAGAAAAGUAUGUUUCUACCUAGAAAUGUCAAAAAAAAAAAAAAAAAG
ensembl:lncRNA